UGGGAGGCUAAAGGAAAAAAGAAAUCAGUAGCUUUUAAAGCUAGGCCUUGCUGUGACUGCGAAGAUAAUGAAAGCCGCCUUGUGUUGUGGGGUAGAAAGCAUUUCAAAGGCAGGGCCCGACUCAGGGUUACAGUGCUGAAAACCCUGUGUGUUUGUUUUGUGUGGAGUGCCAAGCCAGGCAUCCACAGUCUACCAUCUUCGGGGUGAAAUGGUGAAGACGAGUUCCAGGUAGUGCGAAUAGCCCCGGCUUUAAUUUUUCUACUUUCUCUCUCUAGGCGGCCCUUGUGUCAUGCUCAAUCCGCCACAGAAGAAGUGGGAGUGGAGCAUGGUUCUCUUAUUCUGCUUGGUAUGAUGAGGAGCUUUCACUGAAGACUGGAGUUCCCCGGUUGUUUUUCCUUCAGUCGCCAGGCAAUGGAAUACCUCUCAGAAGUUGUCAAUUGGUCAAUUGCAGAAGUGGUGAAAAGAAAGGGGUUGAACGAUCCCUUCUCUGUGGCUACCCUAGAGGAUUCAGGAGCCCUAGAAAAACAUGGCAGCUGGAGCAGAGCAGGGAGUGGAUCAGUUACACAGGUACAGCAGCCAUGGUAAGAUCUCUCAUCAGCCUUUUGCUCUUCACCUGCCUCUGUGCUUUUAACUUGGAAUAAUUCAUACCUGUUUAAAUAUAUGUUUCACAACUGUAAUGUUGAUGCUAAAUUAGCAAACAUUUAAAGGUUCAUUUGGAUUAUUAUGUAAAUGCAUGUGCAAAUAUACUUUAUUAUUAUUACUCCAAUUAUAUUACAAUUAAAAUGCACAUUGGUGUCAGUGUUUCUGUAUUUUUCCUGAAACAUAUUUCACAUAAAACACAUUGUUUGGGUUGUUAUUUGUUAGGGGGGGGAAGAGUGCAGUUUUGCACAUUGAUUUGUUCAGUUGUAAAUUGUACUGUAACAAACACUCUUUUUUUAUAGCAGUAUAGUAUUUUGUGAUUGUCAUAAUUUUGAAAGCAAGCUAAGACUGGCUUAUGUAGAAGUGUCUAUUCAGGUCUGUUUCCAAGCGGAGCAGAUCUGUAGUGUAAAGCCCGUCUGAAUCUCAACAACAAUAAACAUCUUGUGAAGGGUGCAGCAAUGUGAAAACGUCCUGACACCCCCGCACCCCCAGUCCAGUUCCACCGAUAUUGAUUUUGGUUUACGUCUGCUCCGUCCACCGCUCAAUGAAAAGGAUUACAGGCCUGCAAAAGGAUGAGAUAUUAUCAGUUUGUAAUCCAGCCCAUGGUUUCCUAGCUACCGUAUUGUCUAUUCUGUCCCGCUAUGUGAAAAAUGUUGAAUAUCAACAAUGGGUUUCGGUGCUGUAUUGUUGAGUUUUGUAUGAACUAAUCUUGCUUCACUAAAAAAGACCUACAGCUUGGACAAAAGUCUAUAGCCAGUGCAUUCCUAGCUCCCCUUACACUAAAGCAGGCUGAGGCAGAGGGGAAGACAUGUUAGUCUUGUGCUCUUCUAGUUGCUAAAGCGCAGAGCUGCCGGGCUGUGGGAGUCAUGAGGCGGCCCUGCUUCACUCAGUAUGGGCUCAGGGGGAGACCACCAUGGAUGUGUCUGCAGGUCUAGGCCCUAAGAGCAGUGCGGGGGAAAGGUAAGCUGACUGCUACUACACAGCUGUUUCUCCUCUUGUAAAGCUACCGUAUGCUGGUCUCUCUCUUCCUCUGUCCCUUUCCAUCUCUUUCUGCCUCUCCCUCUUUCUUUCUUUCUGGAUCUUUGGCCCUGUGAGGAAAUUUGUGCUCAGGUGCAAAUGUAGGUAUGGAGUGUGUGGAACGACUAAAGACGAGCAUGCUGGCUGUUUUGAUUUGGAAUGCAGACGAUCAAUAACCAUACCUCCUGUGUUGGUGCAGGUCUGGGCAGAGUCGGGUAAGAGCAGCUCGUGGCAGGCAGGGUGUGUGGGUCUGUGUUACAGUAUGUGCUCUCUCUCGCUGUUACUUCACUGCUGUUUGUAGACUAGACUAGCACCUGGAGGGGGC
rnacentral:lncRNA from 8 species